GAUGAACGCUGGCGGCGUGCCUAAUACAUGCAAGUCGAGCGAACGGACGAGAAGCUUGCUUCUCUGAUGUUAGCGGCGGACGGGUGAGUAACACGUGGAUAACCUACCUAUAAGACUGGGAUAACUUCGGGAAACCGGAGCUAAUACCGGCUAAUAUUUUGAACCGCAUGGUUCAAAAGUGAAAGCCGGUCUUGCUGUCACUUAUAGAUGGAUCCGCGCUGCAUUAGCUAGUUGGUAAGGUAACGGCUUACCAAGGCAACGAUGCAUAGCCGACCUGAGAGGGUGAUCAGCCACACUGGAACUGAGACACGGUCCAGACUCCUACGGGAGGCAGCAGUAGGGAAUCUUCCGCAAUGGGCGAAAGCCUGACGGAGCAACGCCGCGUGAGUGAUGAAGGUCUUCGGAUCGUAAAACGCUGUUAUUAGGGAAGAACAUAUGUGUAAGUAACUGUGCACAUCUUGACGGUACCGAAUCAGAAAGCCACGGCUAACUACGUG
rnacentral:rRNA from 1 species